rnacentral:rRNA from 1 species
GACGAACGCUGGCGGCGUGCUUAACACAUGCAAGUCGAGCGGUAAGGCCCUUUCGGGGGUACACGAGCGGCGAACGGGUGAGUAACACGUGGGUGACCUGCCCUCAGCUCUGGGAUAAGCCUGGGAAACCGGGUCUAAUACUGGAUAUGACUCCAUGACGCAUGUUGUGGGGUGGAAAGCCUUGUGCGGCUGAGGAUGGGCCCGCGGCCUAUCAGCUUGUUGGUGGGGUAAUGGCUUACCAAGGCUUUGACGGUA